rnacentral:lncRNA from 1 species
CUGCAGAGGAAUCACCUCUCACUUUUUCCAAGCCCCUCUAUUCCCUAGGCAGGACUGUAGGCUGUUGAGGCUACACACCAGCUGGUGCAGCUCCGCAGCACCAUUUCUAUUUGACAGAUAAGAGGACCCCAGGUAUGUAAUAAAUGGUCAUGAAAGGUUCUGCUGAUUGUGGACACCAACAUACUUGCAGCUUCAUUGAAUGCUCUAGAAGGAGGUCCCCUCCCUGGGGCAAGCCCUGUCCUGGGAAUGGAAUUCAGACUGCAGGUCGGAGGAGGCAAGUGGAAAAGGCUGCGGUCCAGGCCUGCGGGUAAAACAGAGAAACGGCUGGCUGCAUCUUCCCUUUCUCUAUUUUCUUUCCUCCAGUGUACACAAAGUGCUGACGUAAAAUUUUCUGGUCUUCAUCAACAAUCAUCUUCAAAUAGCAAAGUGGAGAAGGCAGCAAGAAGGGCAAUAAACCCAGGGAAAGAAAAGAAAGAAGUCAGCAGCCAUGGAGGGAGGCUCACCAGCCCCCAAAGCUAUCUAACCACAGGAACUUGAACGACACACCUACCUCUCAAGCUUAUGGAGUCUGCCUCAAAAGCCACCACUAUGCCAGCUUCCUAUGUGGGUCUAUAGACUCCUUGGGAGACCUAUAUGAGAGUGCCUGAACGGGGACUGAGCAUUAGAAUGCAUCUUAAUUUCAAGCACCUCAUGCUCCACUACCAAUAUGGAUUCAGUGAUUCAAAGUGUUUAAAUCCAAGUCUGGGGUGCAAGUUGAUGCUCUUCAGUGGCUGCUGUGGAUCUGGGGGUCCUGUGACCGUAAACUUAGGCUUGAAAAAUGGCCCAAAGAGUAUCUGGGCCUCAAGAAGACACUACGAAGGAAUGAAUGGCCCUCGCUGAACUCCUGUGACAUAAUAAGGUAUCUUCACCAUUGAAUAAGGGAUUUUCCUUGAAAAUAUUAUGCUAAUUGAAAGAAACCAAAUGUAAAAGGUCACAUAUUAUAUGAUUUCAUUUAUAUGAAAUGUCCAGAAUAGGCAAAUCUAUAGAGACAGAAAGUAGAUUCCUUCUUAUCAGAGGCUAAGGGGUAAGGUGGGGAAAUGGCUUUGACUGCUAAUGGGUAUAAGUUUUCUUUUGGGGGGAGAUGAAAAUGUUCUAGAAUUUGAGAUUGGUGAUGGAUGCACGAUUUUGUCAACGUACUAAAAGCCAUUGACUUGCACACAUUAAAUUGGUAAAUGGUAUGGUACAUAAAUUACAUCUCAAUAAAGCUCUUUUUAAAAAAUAAGGCAUUCUCUCCACUAAAAUAAAACAAAUAAGUAAAACCAGACUUUCACAGUCAACAAAUCUGUCAUCAGAUAAUGCUGAUUAAUAGUAAAACUGUAAUACAUUCUACCUCUGAAGGUGGAGUGGGCUCUACUGAAAAUAGAAAUCUCAGGCAUGUGAAGAGGUUGGUGUCAGUCUUUGUUCUUCGUGGAAUACAUUUAAUGAGAAUCUUUUGCUUCUUUCUCUAAAGAAAGUAGAACUGAUAGAGGAGGGUGUCAGUUUCCUAGCAGCUUGUAAAGCCCAAAUCAAUAUAAAAAGAGCUUCCAUUUCUCAAAUAUCUUCUAGGUAUUCAGUGAAUACAAGGGUUAAGGCGAUUUACAUGCAUAUUUGCUAAUCCUCACCACAAUGCUGCAAGGUAGAUAUUCCUAUCUCUGUUAUACUUAGGAGAGAAAUUAUGUUCCUAAAGUUGCAAAGCAAGUAAAUGGCAGAACCAAGAUUAGACCCAGAUCAGUCUAACUCUAAGGCCUUUGUCCUCAGUAUCUCUCAACCCUCAAUUAGAAGAGUUCUCAUGGCCCUGGCUGAACCUGUCUAGGUUAUUUAACAAAUCUUUAGCAUUUUGAAGCCAUUCCAUUCAGUUACAGCAGCAGUUACUGUUCAGAAAUUUACAUUCCAAAAAUUGAAAUCAACAAGGCAAUGCUGCUUGUCUCAGCACUGUAGUUCUGAUGAUUCUUAGAGAUGUGUUAUGUUAUUUAAGACAGUUUUAGUGGCUCUCACUGCCAAAGACGGAUCUCAUCAUUGCCUGUGCCCACAAGGACCCUCUGUUCCCUCUGACCUCAGGCCUCUUCCCAUCCAACAAGCCUCUCUGCACUUCUACAUUCCCCUACUGGGACAAGUCAGAACUGGAUCUGCUGACACCACAUACAGGCAUGGAAUCUGAGAUUGCUCUAUUGGGAUCAUCAUUCUGGACACUUCUCUCUGCCAUGGUAGGCUUUUGCUUCCAUGCCAGAUUGCCAUGAUGCUAUACUGAAUGAGGACAACUCUGAGAGACCCACAGUCUUCCCAAGCUAGACCUAGCGAAGCAGUCUGGGGAUUCCCCAAAUAUAUUUGGCUGUUUCCAUGGACCCAAGGGGAUUUAACCUCAAGGACAAAAUAAGAAACUCUCAUAUCAGAAUCCCAGCCACCCUCUCUGUGCUCUACUCUUCAUGACUGGAAGAGUUUUCUCUUUCCUUAGGGAUGGGAAUGCCAAGUUAUAUCCUGCUUCUCUCAAUACUGUGCCUCAGAGUAGAACCCUAUGCUCAGACCCCUCAGGUCUGCCCUGGAUAUAUAAAGGGAAUCUUUGGAAACAUAGAAAACCCUUUAUCUCUUAAUAAAUCCUGGCAUUCAAGGUGAAUUCCUCUUCAUGGAUCCAAAGAGUCUAACUUCAAACUGAAAGCUCAGGAAUGAUAUCUUGUUCUGGACCAGUUCUACUCAGGCUCUGAUCUCUGUCUCUGAACUGUUUGUUACUGUCUGCAACAAUAAAAUAUAGGAAUUGAGAAUAUUUGGAAACUUUUAUAGAAAUUUGGCAGGGUAAUUUUAUGUUGUUGAAUUUAAUUAAAAUCUUGUACUUCUUAUGUCUGUGUCUGUCAAUUUAAUUUUUCUAGUAAUUUAUACUUUGAUUAUAUCUUUUAAAAUGACACAUUGGAUUUUUUUUUUAAUCACCCUUUACCACAGAUAGUUUGAGAAGUGCUGUUCUAGGCUGUAUCUGAACUUCCCCUUAAGGAAAUGCCAGUGUCACAAUAGGUGGAGAAGCCAUAGGAAAACAAGGAACUGUUCUCUACACCAAAAAUACAGUGGCUUACUAUCUCAAAAAUAGGUCUUCAUUAUGCAGCCAUUACAUUAAUUCUCUUGAAAAAUAAAAAUGUACCUCCUAUUCUAAGGGGAAAAAAUAGAAAACUAAGUUGCAUAUAAUCAACAGGUUAUUUCCAUUAGACAUAAUUGCCCACUGACCUAUCACAGUUGGGUUAGGACUAAAUCCAAAUGGAUUUAAGGGCCGGGCACAGUGGCUCGUGCCUGUAAUCCCAGCACUUUGGAAGGCCAAGGUGAGCAGAUGACCUGAGGUCAGGAGUUCGAGACCAGCCUGGCCAACGUGGUGAAACCCCAUCUCUACCAAGGCUACAAAAAUUAGCCAGGCAUGGUGGCAGGCACCUGUAAUCCCAGCUACUCGGGAGGCUGAGGCAGGAGAAUCGCUUGAACCUGGGAGGUGGAGGUUGCAGUGAGCCAAGAUCAUGCCAUUGUACUCUAGUCUGGGUGACAGAGCAAAACUCUGUCUCAAAAAACAAACAAACAAACAGAAAACAAAUGGAUGUAAGACUUCUGGAGAAUAGUGCGGUAUAAGGCAUCAAGCCAAUGCAUGCAGUUCCCUCAUUAUUAAGUAUAUAAGGUACAGACCCAACUGUAGCAAAAUGCAUCUCUAAAGUACCAUGGCAUAAACAAGAUAAAGUUAAUUUUCUUUUUCAUAUAUUGGUUCAGAAUUUGGUAAUCAAGGAUCAGCAGAUGGCUCUGCUACCUCCAACAGGUGGCUCCCCUCAUUGGGUCCAAAGGAAUUGAUCCAGUUCCCACUAUCUCCCAGUCAGGGAAAGGGAAAAAGCACUAGGGAAGUGCAUACCCAAAUAAUGCCUUUAACGACAAGACAAGUGUUCUGUAGUUAGAUGGCCAGUUUCCCAGUGGAAAUUCUAUUCCUAUUAUUCGUGGGGAAAACAAUAAUACUUAUACUUCACGGGUCUGAGCAUAGGGUUCUACUCUAGGGCAUGGUGUUGAGAGAAUAUGACUUGGCAUUCCCAUCCCUAAGGAAGGAAAAAAUUUCUUCCAGUCAUGAAGAGUAGGGCACAGAGAAGGUGGCGGGGAUUCUGAUAGGAGAGUCCUUGUUUUGUCCUUGAGGUUGAAUUCCCUUGGCUCCAUGGAAAUAAGGCUGUCACACUAUGGAAUCUUACUAAGCUGAAAAUUUUUAUAAACCUUGAGCUUUUCUGAACUUGUCAAUACCUAGUCACUUACAAUUUUAUAGUUAGAAACCUAAAUAAUUAUCAUUUUUUAGAUCUUUCCAAAUUAACCAAAAAUUUCUAUUGCACUUAUCAUUCUCGAAUUUUUCUUGAAAAAUUUCCCCCAGAUAUUUUGGUAGUAUUGUGAUUAUGAGAUAAACAGCUAGAUGCAUUAAUUUUUUAAAAAGAAAAAAACCUGUAAUUUAUCAAAACUAAUUCAAGAAUAUAUAUAAAACCCAAACAAUUUUUAACUAAAAAAAAUGUAAAUAUGUCACUUAAAAUAUCUGGCCAGACUCAGUGUGAUUACACCUGUAAUCCCAGUGCUUUGGGAGGGUGAGGCAGGAGGAUUGUCUGUGGCCAGGAGUUCAAGACUAGCCUGGGCAACAUAGUGAGAAUCUGUCCUUUAUUUAAAUAUAUACAUAUAUUCCUAUAAAGAAAACUCUAGUCCCAGAUUGCUUCACUGGAAAGUUCUGCCAAAUAUUCAAGAAAUAGAUAAUGCCAAUCUUAUGUGAACUAUCCCAGAGCAUAGUGCAUAGGCAGGUAAUGUAGGGACGGGCAUCCCUGGCAGGAACAGUAAAUGCAGGGGCACCAAGGCAGACAACACAAUGAAUCGGGGAAACAAGUUGUUCAGUAUAGCUGGAGCUCAAAGGACUUUUUGGAAAGAAUCCAAAUAAAGCAAAAUAUCAACAUCAACUGAAAACUUCUUGCUAAUAAUAUCCUACAAAAGGAAGAAGUCCUGACUGUCUCUACAAGUGCCCUUAAAUGGUGUCUUAAUCACACAUCUUUUCAAGGACUCCUAUAAGCCUACACCUGGGAUGGCAGAUAUGCUGAACACAAGCUGCCUUGCCCCACAUCUGGGCCCAUAAUAUUUAUGAUAAUAACAACUUGUAUUUAUUAAGCACUCUACUAGAUACAGUGCUAAGCACUUGACAUGAAUUAUCUCAACAAUCCUUACAAUAACCCUGUGAAGCAGGUGCUAUAAUCUAUUUGCAUUUUAUGGAUAAUAAACAAGCCUGAAAGUGGUUAGGUAACUUGCUUAAAGACUUGGCUAAUAAGUGGCAGAGAUAGCGCUGGAACUUCAAUCCUUCUAGCUAUA